CUGCUUUAUUUCUAAAAGAUGGCUAGGAGAAACUUUAUUUCCCAGUGCAAGUGGACGUUAGACGACUGCACUCGUCUUCUGCAGACAGAUGCUGGGCCUGCUGUUUUGGAAUCAACAUUAAGAAGGUUGGAGACCAUGCAGAGGAGCCUUGAAUGGGCAAGGGGAAGGCUGAUAAAUGUUCAAGCAACGGAUUGCUUACUUGGAGAUAUGGCUGAAUAUAUCCAUGAAGUAAGGAGCUGUAGAUGGCAUGAACAACAAGCCAGUUCAUCUUACAAGGCUCCACUGGCUUGGAGUGGUGCUAGAGGUCCGCCUCACUUCUCCAUCUCUCUAGAGCAACUGACAUUCCUAAAGUUAUGUGGAUUUACAGUGUCACAGAUUGCAGAUAUUCUGCAUGUUUCUGUACCUACAGUCAAACGACGUUUCAGG